AGGAGAGGCUCGCUAGCCAGUGUGGAGCCGGAGGUGGGCGGGGACCGAGAGGGUGACGGUGCCAGGAGGGAGCGCACUAGGCAAGUAUGGAUGACGGUGGAGGCCUCGCAGAGCUGGGGGCCAGCCUCCACGACACAGAGGCGUCUUUCAAGAGCACACGAGGACUGUGCCCUUCAGUCCUCAGCUAUAGACUUCCCUGAAGGCUGGGAAUUUUCCAAGUUCUCCAUGCGUCGUCCAACGUGUGAUAUCGUGAAUGGAUUUUCACCUGGCUUCCACCAGAACCUGCCAAAGAGUCCCGAUUCCCGAGAGCCUGGCAAAGCUUGAAUUGAACCUUGGCUCUGCCACAACAGCAGUUACAGCUCCACUUGUGUUUUUUGUUGACCUCCGUGUCUCGCUUCGAAAGGAAAAUAAACCGUAUUAAAGAGAUGGUGACACUAAGACCAACGCCAGCGUCGUUCCUCCCCCACCUCUUCUAACUUCUGGUUCCUUAUGCCUCAGGUCUCUGCCUAAAUAUCACCUCCUGGAAGAGGUUUUCCCUGCACACCGCCUCCCUUGCCUUGAAGGCUGGCUUGAUUUCCUAGGCUCCCUAGCAGGUGACAGAGUUCUGGUCAAUCAUAUGCAAGUGGAAGUUGGUUAGUUACUUAACCAAAAAAGUUUUUAAAGAGACAGGCUCUACUGGCAUUCGUCAGCCUUUUGCACUUACCCUUGUGUUCUGCCUGAAACAGAGAUGUGAUGCACAGAGGCACAGCAGCCAUCUUGAAAUCUUGAGAACAAACACUGUAUUGACUUGAUCAGAAUGGUGCAACAGAAAGAAAGCCUGAUUCUUCCAGGCUUCUUAUGUGAGAUAAAGUUCCAUAUAUUUGUGCCGCUGUUACUUUUGAUUUUUGCUUCUUGCUGUCAAGCAUAUUUCUGAUUCAUACAGCAUAAUAUCUGGUUCACUGUAGUACUCAAUAAAUAUUAGCUAUUGUUAUUCUGUCUA